UCUCCAAGAUGGCCUCUUUUAAAAUGGAUUAUUAUUGGAUAACAUAGUGCGAAACGGCCCCGCCUCGCUCCUACGAUGAUGAAUGAUCGCCCGAUUUCGGAAAAAUGCAUGUUGCAUGACAAUUGCAUGAAAUUUCGCACCCAAACAUCGGCCCUCUCUCUCCAACCGCAAGUUAUGGGCAAUAACAAGUGGUCUCUUAAAGUAAUCUCCCACUAAAUCAUUGUGCACACGCGAUGUGUGUGCGGGAGAGAGACGGGCCGAGCCUUGUGGCGCACAACCAGAUGAUGAUUUAAGAUACGUGUUUACAAGAUGCAAGAGGUGUAAUUGUUUUUAAGGGCUGGAGCGGUGCAGUGAAAAGCGAUCGCGAGAUCUUCAUGCUAAACACUUAUUUGGCCAUAUAUUUUGGGACUGGUAGUCAAGACCGCAAACAGCUUUAUGGAAAAUGCUGGGGUGGCGGCACAUAAAUCAAUAACGCGGUGCCGCCGUCUCGCUCCCCCUCGCAUUUCGCCGCUUGUUCCUUCUCUCGAUCGCCCGAAUUGCUAAAGUUAGCCCCGAUAUUUUCCAAGAUAUAUCGCCGUUUCAUUUUCAUCGUUUAAUUCGUCUUUAAAACAAUCUGCGGCCCGAGUGACCAUCGCUUCGAAAAACCAUCGACUGCCGCGUAAUUGACUUGUAAAAGUUUAAUGCAUUCGGGUGAAUAAUAGAAGUGUAAGCUUUUAUUUGUAGUGGUAAUAAUAGCUAAUUUCCAUGUCGCAUUAAUAAAAUAUGUCGUAAUGUAGUAUUAAAUCCAUCCUAAUUACCUUAAUGUUUCGAUUAUAUAUUCAGAUUAGGUUUUAUAAUGUGAUUGCGUGUUUUUCCGAUACUGGUCAGCGCGAGGGAAUUUUAAAAUUGCCGCCUUUUAGGGGGCCAUUCUGAUUUGGGCCGAUCUUGUAUCGCUCCACCUCUAACACUUAGUUGCUGUCAAGCAACUGUCAAAGCUGCACGGCCCCUAUAUUUGUCAAGGCCCUCUGGCACCGCCUAUGUUCCUUAACUUUGAAGCUGAUUGGUGGACACAGGUGCUUUCCUCUCUAUGAUUAGUCAUUAAAACAUAUGAAUAAACAAGAUCCCUUGGAUACUAGCGACUCUUUUACGAACAACGGUAAGUGAGUGAACUAAAUAGUUUCCAUUGUUGAGGCCAACAAGUGAAGAGCUCCUCACUGAUUUACAACACCUGCUUGCACCCCACUGAAAUAUAGAGAAGCCACGCGGUUGCCUAUUCAUAACAUGGCCAUUCCAUCAUCACGAAAUUUAUUUCUUCGUACCUUACACACAACAGACCGACGCACCAUUCUUACCCCACUUACAAACAUUUAUACUGAAAUAUAACAAGUGUUGUAUGAUAUAUUCUAUUUGUUAAAGCGCCAAAUAAAAGAUUCAUUGAA